AUGGUGCAUUUGUCACACGGGUCUGAUGUGUUUCGAUGGAACCUACAUGGGAAUGGACAAUUCUCAGUGGAGUCUAUGUAUAGAGCGUUAAUCCAGUCUGAUGUGCCAGUUGAUAAUAACAAGAAGAUCUGGAAGAUGAAGAUACCUCUGAAGAAUAAAAUCUUUGCAUGUUAUCUUCGUCGCGGAGUCAUUCUUACUAAAGAUAACCUUAUUAAGAGAAAUUGGCAUGGAAGUCCGCAACGUGUCUUUUGUCACUAUGAUGAGACAAUAAAACAUUUAUUCUUCCAAUGCAAAUUGGCUCGCUCUAUAUGGUCAGUCAUCCAGAUAGCUUCUGGCUUGUAUCCUCCUUGUAGUGUUGCUAAUGUAUUUGGCAAUUGGUUACAUGGGAUAUAUUAUAGGUUUAGAACUAUUCUUAGGGUGGGAGCGCUUGCCGUUAUUUGGUCUCUUUGGCUAUGUAGAAAUGAUAAGGUGUUUAACGAUAAAAGUACUUCUCUGAUGCAGGUUAUCUACAGAUGUACCGGGACUCUUUGUUUAUGGUCCUCUCUACAACAUGUGGAGACUCGAGACCUGUUUACGGAGGUGUGUACACGAUUGGAGGAUACAGCGAGGGAUACUUUUACCCAACAUGGGUGGCAGCAUUAUCUUAGGAUUGGCCCACCUUCGCUUUAG
rnacentral:rRNA from 1 species